rnacentral:rRNA from 1 species
UACGUAGGGUGCAAGCGUUAAUCGGAAUUACUGGGCGUAAAGCGUACGCAGGCGGCUAUGUAAGACAGGUGUGAAAUCCCCGGGCCUAACCUGGGAACUGCAUUUGUGACUGCAUAGCUAGAGUCCGUCAGAGGGGGGUGGAAUUCCACGUGUAGCAGUGAAAUGCGUAGAGAUGUGGAGGAACACCGAUGGCGAAGGCGGCAUCCUGGACCGGCAUUGACGCUGAGGAGCGAAAGCCAGGGGAGCAAACGGG